rnacentral:rRNA from 1 species
GGUCAUUGCUAUCGGAGUCCGAUUUAGCCAUGCUAGUCGCGCGAGUUCAGACUCGCGGCAGAUAGCUCAGUAACACGUGGCCAAACUACCCUGCAGAGACGGACACCCUCGGGAAACUGAGGCUAAUCCGUCACAAGGAACUCACGCUGGAAUGCCGAGUUCUGGAAAUGCUCUGGCGCUGCAGGAUGUGGCUGCGGCCGAUUAGGUAGACGGUGGGGUAACGGCCCACCGUGCCGAUAAUCGGUACGGGUUGUGAGAGCAAGAGCCCGGAGACGGAAUCUGAGACAAGAUUCCGGGCCCUACGGGGCGCAGCAGGCGCGAAACCUUUACACUGCACGCAAGUGCGAUAAGGGGACUCCGAGUGCGAGGGCAUACAGUCCUCGCUUUUGUACACCGUAAGGUGGUGUACGAAUAAGAGCUGGGCAAGACCGGUGCCAGCCGCCGCGGUAAUACCGGCAGCUCGAGUGAUGACCGAUAUUAUUGGGCCUAAAGCGUCCGUAGCUGGCCGCGUAAGUCCAUCGGGAAAUCCACCGCUCAACGGUGGGCGUCCGGUGGAAACUGCACGGCUUGGGACCGGAAGACCCAGGGGUCCGUCCGGG